rnacentral:lncRNA from 1 species
UUUCUCUUGUCACCCAGCCAGAAACAGAGGUUACAGUGGAGGUCUCUGAGGUGCUGGGGAUGGCAGAUCACAUCGUGAGAGGAGUCUGGACUCCUGAAUGGCACUGUAGAAUGCUUCCCACCAAUCACCUACUUGGACUAUGUGGUCUGGAGUGGAUCCUGAGAAGUCUGCAGAUGAGACUUUGAAGUGCAAGUUGCUAGAGGAUCUGCUGAAAGGUCUUUGCCAGAUGCCAGCAUCUUGAUAUGAACUGUCCUAACCUCCAGAACUGUAAGAAAUAAAUUUAUUUUCUUUAUAAAUUGUCCAGUCUGUAGGAUUCUGUUAUAGAAACAGGAAACAAGCUAAGAAAAAUGACAAUAAAUGUUUACUUAUAUAUGCAACAACAUGAAUGUAUCUUAAAACAUUGAUCAAG